GCACCAGACUCCUACGGGAGGCAGCAGUGGGGAAUAUUGCACAAUGGGGGAAACCCUGAUGCAGCGACGCCGCGUGAGUGAAGAAGUCAUUCGUUCCGUAAAGCUCUAUCAGCAGGGAAGAAAAUGACGGUACCUGAGUAAGAAGCCCCGGCUAACUACGUGCCAGCAGCCGCGGUAAUACGUAGGGGGCAAGCGUUAUCCGGAUUUACUGGGUGUAAAGGGUGCGUAGACGGGAAAUUAAGUUAGUUGUGAAAUCCCUCGGCUCAACUGAGGAACUGCAACUAAAACUGAUUUUCUUGAGUGUAGGAGAGGUAAGUGGAAUUCCUAGUGUAGCGGUGAAAUGCGUAGAUAUUAGGAGGAACACCAGUGGCGAAGGCGACUUACUGGACUGUAACUGACGUUGAGGCACGAAAGUGUGGGGAGCAAACAGGAUUAGAUACCCGCGUA
rnacentral:rRNA from 1 species